UACGGAGGUUGCAAGCGUUGUUCGGAAUGACUGGGCGUAAAGGGGACGCAGGCGGCUAGGUCAGUCUGAAGUGAAAAUCCGGGGCUCAACUCCGGACCUGCUUUGGAUACUGCCCAGCUCGAGUACGUGAGAGGAGAGUGGAAUUCCAGGUGUAGCGGUGAAAUGCGUAGAUAUCUGGAGGAACAUCUGUGGCGAAAGCGGCUCUCUGGCACGAUACUGACGCUGAGGCCCGAAAGCGUGGGGAGCGAACAGG
rnacentral:misc_RNA from 1 species